GACGAACGCUGGCGGCGUGCUUAACACAUGCAAGUCGUACGGUAAGGCCCUUUCGGGGGUACACGAGUGGCGAACGGGUGAGUAACACGUGAGUAACCUGCCCACAACUUUGGGAUAACGCUAGGAAACUGGUGCUAAUACUGGAUAUGUGCCCCUGCUGCAUGGUGGGGGUUGGAAAGCUCCGGCGGUUGUGGAUGGACUCGCGGCCUAUCAGCUUGUUGGUGGGGUAGUGGCCUACCAAGGCGGCGACGGGUAGCCGGCCUGAGAGGGUGACCGGCCACAUUGGGACUGAGAUACGGCCCAGACUCCUACGGGAGGCAGCAGUGGGGAAUAUUGCAAAAUGGGGGCAAGCCUGAUGCAGCAACGCCGCGUGCGGGAUGACGGCCUUCGGGUUGUAAACCGCUUUCAGCAGGGACGAAGCUUUUUGUGACGGUACCUGCAGAAGAAGCACCGGCUAACUACGUG
rnacentral:rRNA from 1 species